rnacentral:rRNA from 1 species
UACAGAGGUCCCAAGCGUUAUUCGGAAUUAUUGGGCGUAAAGGGCGCGUAGGCGGCUUUGCAAGUGACGGGUGAAAUCCCUCGGCUUAACCGAGGAACUGCCUGUCAAACUGCAUGGCUUGAGACCGGGAGAGGUGAGUGGAAUUCCCAGUGUAGCGGUGAAAUGCGUAGAUAUUGGGAGGAACACCAGUGGCGAAGGCGGCUCACUGGACCGGUACUGACGCUGAUGCGCGAAAGCGUGGGGAGCAAACAGG